AAAACCUUUAAUUGAGUCCAGAGAGGCUAAAAAGGGUGUUCCAAAAAAGGUGUGAAUCAUUCUGCCUAUAUUUUGUCGUACCUCACCCUCUUUGGGUGAGGUUUUUUUGGA
rfam:Streptococcus phocae strain ATCC 51973 contig_3, whole genome shotgun sequence.